CUGUUGCAUGAAAGUAGGAUUAAGAUAUCCGGGAUAAAUGACUGAGCCGAGUUCACCCAAUCCAAAACAAGAGCGUCCAGGCUCAGUCGGUUGCACAAAGACCAAGCCAGGAUGAGCAGACACGGAUUCAUCAAGCCAGGGGAAACCAAUCCUGGCUAAGUGCGCGUACGCGGCUUCCUUAAAUAGACCCCAGAUAUCGAUCGCAGAUUCACUGAUUCACCAUGGCAACGCGUGCGGCAUACUUUUCACCGUCAGAAGCGGAGAUCCUCAUGGAAGCAUAUGAAGAGGUGAAAGAUCAAAUCAGAAAGAAAGGCAACACAGCAUCAAUAAUUAAACAGCGCCAAAAAGCUUGGGAAACCAUUGCAGAUCGCCUGAAUGCCAAGUAAAAGUCAAAUACAUGAACAUCUUGCAGAAUGCCGUCAAAAAGAGAGGCCAAAUACAAAGAACGGGUGGUGGGUCACCUCCCACCGCCCUCACCCCAGCCGAAGACAUGGCCUUAUCACAAAAUAAAGGCAGGCCAGUUUUGGAGGGGAUCCUUGGGGGGACAGAAACAAAUGCAUGUCCCUCCCAAGAG